UUCGAAUCCCGCCGUGGCCGGGCAUAUUUUUCAAGCUCGCCCGGUGUGGAUAUGCACUCAGAGUAACAUCACAAACAUAUCUGCAGUGAUGUUUGUUAUGACAUUUUUCCUAGAUUGUAUUGUAUAUGAAAAAAUGUGUUCAUCUCUCACUAACAAAACGCUGGUGAAAGGAAUAAAGCAAGCUUGCCCAAUCGAACAAACGAGUUGUUUGGACGGAUUCCAUUCUGUGCUGAAUCAAUUCUCUCACUUACAGAGGAAUGUUUUGUACAUGUAGG